rnacentral:rRNA from 1 species
UGGCGGCGUGCCUAAUACAUGCAAGUUGAGCGCUGAAGGUUGGUACUUGUACCGACUGGAUGAGCAGCGAACGGGUGAGUAACGCGUGGGGAAUCUGCCUUUGAGCGGGGGACAACAUUUGGAAACGAAUGCUAAUACCGCAUAAAAACUUUAAACACAAGUUUUAAGUUUGAAAGAUGCAAUUGCAUCACUCAAAGAUGAUCCCGCGUUGUAUUAGCUAGUUGGUGAGGUAAAGGCUCACCAAGGCGAUGAUACAUAGCCGACCUGAGAGGGUGAUCGGCCACAUUGGGACUGAGACACGGCCCAAACUCCUACGGGAGGCAGCAGUAGGGAAUCUUCGGCAAUGGACGAAAGUCUGACCGAGCAACGCCGCGUGAGUGAAGAAGGUUUUCGGAUCGUAAAACUCUGUUGGUAGAGAAGAACGUUGGUGAGAGUGGAAAGCUCAUCAAGUGACGGUAACUACCCAGAAAGGGACGGCUAACUACGUGCCAGCAGCCGCGGUAAUACGUAGGUCCCGAGCGUUGUCCGGAUUUAUUGGGCGUAAAGCGAGCGCAGGUGGUUUAUUAAGUCUGGUGUAAAAGGCAGUGGCUCAACCAUUGUAUGCAUUGGAAACUGGUAGACUUGAGUGCAGGAGAGGAGAGUGGAAUUCCAUGUGUAGCGGUGAAAUGCGUAGAUAUAUGGAGGGAACACCGGUGGCGAAAGCGGCUCUCUGGCCUGUAACUGACACUGAGGCUCGAAGCGUGGGGAGCAAACAGGAUUAGAUACCCUGGUAGUCCACGCCGUAAACCGAUGAGUGCUAGAUGUAGGGG